UUCCAGACUCCUACGGGAGGCAGCAGUGAGGAAUAUUGGUCAAUGGGCGGAAGCCUGAACCAGCCAAGUCGCGUGAGGGAAGAAGGCCCUGCGGGUCGCAGACCUCUUUGGACGGGGAGCAAGGCCGCCGACGUGUCGGCGGAAGGAGAGUACCCGUAGAACAAGCAUCGGCUAACUACGUGCCAGCAGCCGCGGUAAUACGUAGGGAGCGAGCGUUGUCCGGAAUUACUGGGUGUAAAGGGAGCGUAGGCGGGCGAGAAAGUUGAAUGUUAAAUCUACCGGCUUAACUGGUAGCUGCGUUCAAAACUUCUUGUCUUGAGUGAAGUAGAGGCAGGCGGAAUUCCUAGUGUAGCGGUGAAAUGCGUAGAUAUUAGGGGGAACACCAGUGGCGAAGGCGGCCUGCUGGGCUUUAACUGACGCUGAGGCUCGAAAGCGUGGGGAGCAAACAGGAUUAGAUACCCGGGUA
rnacentral:rRNA from 1 species